GAAAAUUGUUUUUGAGAAUAAGCUAGUGUUGAUAUUUUAAUAUUUUUAGCUUACUGCUCGUGUUUUUGUUUUUGUUUUCGUUUAUAGAGCCUGGGCAAUAUAGCAAGACCUCGUCUCUGUAAAAAGAAAGAAAGUAAUAAAGACUAAUUGAGCCCAAAGUGUUUCACUAUUUCAAAAAAGAUAUUUAAAUUGUUGCUCUUUCAUUCCAUAAAAAGGAUCUGAUCUCUCUCCCACUUUUCUGACCUGAGUUAGAGCUUCCCAAACCUGUCAUGUAUGGGUUUUAGCCAAUUUCUUUUAGAUCACUAAAAAAACUCACCCAAUAUGUCAAAUAAUGGAUUUAUCAUAGCCAGUACAUGUUCUCAAGGCAAGUUUAAACAUUAUUUUGAAGCUAUUGAUAAUUUUUUAAAAUAAAGAAAUAUUCACUGAUUUUUUUCACUGUAAAGCACGGGAGGGCUGCUUUAACAACAGUAUAAGAAUCAGCCUGAAGCCUUGUUACUGCUACAACAAAUUCAUUUUAGACUCCUCGGAUGUCUUCCACAGUAAUUUAUUCUUUUAGCAAACCUGAUACUGAUAACUGUUUCUUUGCUUUGAUUUCUUGAUGAAUUAUUUUGGUAUGUUUGUUGAUUUUUAAAGCAAACACGGAUAAUGCACUCAGUACAUUUUUUGUAAAGAUUUUUGCAAUAGAAGAAAAGCUGAAGUUUUUGUGGGGAUGUGGAUUUUAUUGCUUACUACCUUAUAGUAAUCAAAAGUUUGAAAAUAUGAACUUACAGUCUUUACCAGUUUACUAAGGGAAACUUUUUUCCCUAUUUAAAACAUGAUCUUAGUCAACAAUUUUAUUUAUAAUUAUCAGCUAAAGAAAUUACAUUUAGUAUAAUACUCAAAUGGAAAAAUCAAUAGUUUAUACCUUUAUAAAUAUAGUUUAGUAAGCCAAGGAAUCAGGGA
rnacentral:lncRNA from 1 species